ACGCUCGACACCUACUGGAGGCAGCAGUGGGGAAUAUUGCACAAUGGAGGAAACUCUGAUGCAGCGAUGCCGCGUGAGGGAAGAAGGUUUUCGGAUUGUAAACCUCUGUCUUUGGGGACGAUAAUGACGGUACCCAAGGAGGAAGCUCCGGCUAACUACGUGCUAGCAGCCGCGGUAAUCUGAGCGGGCUGGCAAGGC
rnacentral:rRNA from 1 species